rnacentral:misc_RNA from 1 species
GUGAAUCAUCAAAUUUUUGAACGCAAAUUGCACUCUCUGGUAUUCCGGAGAGUAUGCCUGUUUGAGGGUCAGUUUAAAUAAAAAUCGGUGUGGUUGCUGCCUUUCGUGGUGACGCACCGGAUGUGUGUCGUCUUGCCUUCGGUUAAGUGACCUAAAAUUUUGCAUGAUUUUUUCGAACGUAUUUAAAUGAUUUAACUUCCGUUUCCGUUAUCGAAUAUUAGGUUUGUUCA